GUGUUAUUUCGAUAGCACAUAUAAUAAAAUUGGAACAAUACAGAGAAGAUUAGCAUGGC
ensembl:snRNA U6 U6 spliceosomal RNA